UACGUAGGGUGCAAGCGUUGUCCGGAAUUAUUGGGCGUAAAGAGCUCGUAGGCGGUCUGUUGCGUCGGCUGUGAAAACCCGGGGCUCAACUCCGGGCCUGCAGCCGAUACGGGCAGACUAGAGUUCGGCAGGGGAGACUGGAAUUCCUGGUGUAGCGGUGAAAUGCGCAGAUAUCAGGAGGAACACCGGUGGCGAAGGCGGGCCUCUGGGCCGAUACUGACGCUGAGGAGCGAAAGCGUGGGGAGCGAACAGG
rnacentral:rRNA from 1 species